GAUGAACGCUGGCGGCGUGCCUAAUACAUGCAAGUCGAGCGAACGGACGAGAAGCUUGCUUCUCUGAUGUUAGCGGCGGACGGGUGAGUAACACGUGGAUAACCUACCUAUAAGACUGGGAUAACUUCGGGAAACCGGAGCUAAUACCGGAUAAUAUUUUGAACCGCAUGGUUCAAAAGUAAAAGACGGUCUUGCUGUCACUUAUAGAUGGAUCCGCGCUGCAUUAGCUAGUUGGUAAGGUAACGGCUUACCAAGGCAACGAUGCAUAGCCGACCUGAGAGGGUGAUCGGCCACACUGGAACUGAGACGCGGUCCAGACGCCUACGGGAGGCAGCAGUAGGGAAUCUUCCGCAAUGGGCGAAAGCCUGACGGAGCAACGCCGCGUGAGUGAUGAAGGUCUUCGGAUCGUAAAACUCUGUUAUUAGGGAAGAACAUAUGUGUAAGUAACUGUGCACAUCUGGACGGUACCUAGUCAGAAAGCCACGGCUAACUACGU
rnacentral:rRNA from 1 species